rnacentral:rRNA from 1 species
UACGGGGGGAGCAAGCGUUGUUCGGAUUUACUGGGCGUAAAGGGCGCGUAGGCGGCCAGCACAAGUCAGUUGUGAAAUCUCCGAGCUUAACUCGGAACGGUCAACUGAUACUGUGCGGCUAGAGUGCGGAAGGGGCAACUGGAAUUCUUGGUGUAGCGGUGAAAUGCGUAGAUAUCAAGAGGAACACCUGCGGCGAAGGCGGGUUGCUGGGCCGACACUGACGCUGAGGUGCGAAAGCCAGGGGAGCGAACGGG